rnacentral:rRNA from 1 species
CGGUAUACUGACCGUGCGAAGGUAGCAUAAUCAAUAAUCCUUUAAUUGAGGGUUUGUAUGAAUGGUUGGACGAGAAAAAAACUGUUUUUUAUUUAACAUUUAAAAUUAACUUUUAAGUGAGAAGGCUUAAAUUUUAUAAAAAGACGAUAAGACCCUAUAAAUCUUUAUAUUAUAAGGAACAAAAGUAAUAUAUUUAGUGAAACUCUUUUAUAUUCCGAAUAAUAUUUUGUUGGGGCGACAUGAAUAUUUAAUUAACUGUUCAGAAAACUAUACAAAUAUAUUUGAAUUAAAAUGUAUAAGAUCCUUAUUAUGGAAUUAUAAGGUUAAGUUACUUUAGGGAUAACAGCGUUAUUUUAUUUAAGAGUUCUUAUCGAUAAUAAAGUUUGCGACCUCGAUGUUGAAUUAAAAUUUCUUUGU